UACGUAGGGGGCAAGCGUUGUCCGGAAUCAUUGGGCGUAAAGCGCGUGUAGGCGGCUUGGUAAGUCCGCUCUGAAAGCCCGGGGCUCAACCCCGGGAGGCGGGUGGAUACUGUCAAGCUCGAGUCCGGAAGAGGCGAGUGGAAUUCCUGGUGUAGCGGUGAAAUGCGCAGAUAUCAGGAGGAACACCAAUGGCGAAGGCAGCUCGCUGGGACGUGACUGACGCUGAGACGCGAAAGCGUGGGGAGCGAACCGG
rnacentral:rRNA from 1 species